AGGAGAAUAGUUAAAUAUAACAUUUAAAUUGCAAUUAAAAAGUACAUUAAUGUGUUUCUCUCA
rnacentral:tRNA from 1 species